rnacentral:rRNA from 1 species
ACAGCAGCAGCCGCGGGAAUACGGAGGAUCCAAGCGUUAUCCGGAAUCAUUGGGUUUAAAGGGUCCGUAGGCGGUCUUGUAAGUCAGUGGUGAAAGCCCAUCGCUCAACGGUGGAACGGCCAUUGAUACUGCAGGACUUGAAUUAUUGGGAAGUAACUAGAAUAUGUAGUGUAGCGGUGAAAUGCUUAGAGAUUACAUGGAAUACCAAUUGCGAAGGCAGGUUACUACCAAUUGAUUGACGCUGAUGGACGAAAGCGUGGGUAGCGAACAGGAUUAGAUACCCCGGUAGUCCCUGUCUCUUAUAA